AACGAACGCUGGCGGCAUGCCUAACACAUGCAAGUCGAACGAGACCUUCGGGUCUAGUGGCGCACGGGUGCGUAACGCGUGGGAACCUGCCCUUAGGUUCGGAAUAACUCCCCGAAAGGGGUGCUAAUACCGGAUAAUGUCUUCGGACCAAAGAUUUAUCGCCUUUGGAUGGGCCCGCGUUGGAUUAGCUAGUUGGUAGGGUAAAAGCCUACCAAGGCGACGAUCCAUAGCUGGUCUGAGAGGAUGAUCAGCCACACUGGGACUGAGACACGGCCCAGACUCCUACGGGAGGCAGCAGUGGGGAAUAUUGGAAAAGGGGCGAAAGCCUGAUCCAGCAAUGCCGCGGGAGUGAUGAAGGCCUUAGGGUUGUAAAGCUCUUUUACCCGGGAUGAUAAUGACAGUACCGGGAGAAUAAGCUCCGGCUAACUCCGUG
rnacentral:rRNA from 1 species